rnacentral:misc_RNA from 1 species
AAAAUGGAGGGUAGGGAUUCCGUUUAGAAUAUCCAUCCUUUCUCUUUUUAAUCCAACGGUCCAGGGUCCUGCCUUACGAAAUAGAUCCAAAGGCUAGGAAUAAAAGGUGCCGAAUUUGUCAUCUGCUUUUGAUCUAAGGGCUCCAUAUCCAUCCUUACAAUUGUAAUCAAUGGUGGAGAUCGAGAUGUACAGGGCUGCUUUAAUUGCUUUGGCGUCUGGCAGCUAGGAGGGCAUCCUUGCAAAUGAGAUUCAUGGUGAGGAUCUGAUCAUGCCUGCAAAUGCUUUAACUAACUCGGAUCUGACGAUGAAGAGAGUUAAUUGAAAGUUAUUUAACCCCUUUGCGUUCUCCGAUCUCUAUAGGUCGUCUCCUGUUUCUUCCGAUCUUCCCAUUAUGACCAUCCCCUUUUGGGAUCAUUAUUCCAAUCUCUAUCUCUUGCAUUGGGUCCCCUCUUAUUUCUCGAUCUCUCUCAUUCUUGAUCUUUCCUCUCUAACUUGCAUUGAUUAUUUUUCCGAUCUUUGAUAAGUGUACUCGAUCUGAUCCCUAGACGAAUCGUCAUUCGUCGAUAUUCAGUGACCUUAAUUGAUCGAUCUCAUUUAUUUGAUUUUUUA